rnacentral:rRNA from 1 species
UACGUAGGGUGCAAGCGUUGUCCGGAUUUAUUGGGCGUAAAGAGCUCGUAGGCGGUCUGUCGCGUCGGAUGUGAAAACCCAGGGCUCAACCCUGGGCCUGCAUUCGAUACGGGCAGACUAGAGUACGGCAGGGGAGACUGGAAUUCCUGGUGUAGCGGUGAAAUGCGCAGAUAUCAGGAGGAACACCAGCGGCGAAGGCGGCGCUCUGGGCCGGAACUGACGCUGAGGAGCGAAAGCGUGGGUAGCAAACAGG